GUUGUCAAUGGUAAGCGGACCGUAGGGAGCAUUAAGGAAUUGACAAUGUCACUACA
rfam:Bacillus megaterium QM B1551 plasmid pBM200, complete sequence.